AACGAACGUUAGCGGCGCGCCUAACACAUGCAAGUCGCACGAGAAAGGGCUUCGGCCCCGGUACAGUGGCGCACGGGUGAGUAACACGUGGGUAACGUUCCCUCGGGCGGGGGAUAACCUUCCGAAAGGAGGGCUAAUACCGCAUAAGACCACGACCUCGCGAGAGGACGCGGUCAAAGCAGGCCUCUUCAUGAAAGCUUGCACCUGAGGAUCGGCCCGCGGCCCAUCAGCUAGUUGGCAGGGUAACGGCCUACCAAGGCUAAGACGGGU
rnacentral:rRNA from 1 species